rnacentral:rRNA from 1 species
AGCGAACGCUGGCGGCAGGCCUAACACAUGCAAGUCGAACGAAGUCUUCGGACUUAGUGGCGGACGGGUGAGUAACACGUGGGAACGUGCCUUUAGGUUCGGAAUAACUCAGGGAAACUUGUGCUAAUACCGAAUGUGCCCUUCGGGGGAAGGAUUUAUCGCCUUUAGAGCGGCCCGCGUCUGAUUAGCUAGUUGGUGAGGUAAAGGCUCACCAAGGCGACGAUCAGUAGCUGGUCUGAGAGGAUGAUCAACCACAUUGGGACUGAGACACGGCCCAAACACCUACGGGAGGCAGCAGUGGGGAAUCUUGCGCAAUGGGCGAAAGCCUGACGCAGCCACGCCGCGUGAAUGAUGAAGGUCUUAGGAUUGUAAAAUUCUUUCACCGGGGACGAUAAUGACGGUACCCGGAGAAGAAGCCCCGGCUAACUUCGUGCCAGCAGCCGCAGUAA